GUGGCUACAGAACGAACGCUGGCGGCAUGCCUAACACAUGCAAGUCGAACGAGACCUUCGGGCCUAGUGGCGCACGGUGCGUAACGCGUGGGAAUCUGCCCUUGGGUUCGGAAUAACUCAGAGAAAUUUGAGCUAAUACCGGAUGAUGACGAAAGUCCAAAGAUUUAUCGCCCAGGGAUGAGCCCGCGUAAGAUUAGCUUGUUGGUGGGGUAAUGGCCUACCAAGGCGACGAUCUUUAGCUGGUCUGAGAGGAUGAUCAGCCACACUGGGACUGAGACACGGCCCAGACUCCUACGGGAGGCAGCAGUGGGGAAUAUUGGACAAUGGGCGCAAGCCUGAUCCAGCAAUGCCGCGUGAGUGAUGAAGGCCUUAGGGUUGUAAAGCUCUUUUACCAGGGAUGAUAAUGACAGUACCUGGAGAAUAAGCUCCGGCUAACUCCGUG
rnacentral:rRNA from 1 species